UUAUUUCCCAGCCCUGAUGUACCCAACUUUUUCAUCUUCUCUGUGCCUUUUUCCGAAUAUAACAACAAGCUAAGGACAAGUGAGGAGAGGAUAAGUGAUGGUUGUUCUACUAAAUGCUGUUCCUGAAGUCAUCAGUGAAUUCGCUCUGGAUGAUAACUUGCCUUUAUUAACUUCUGGAAUGUUUUGCCAUUUCUUCUGACUAAUUGCAUUGCAUGACAACAAAUAAUCUGUGAUUUGUAAAAAGGAAUACCAGGGACUCACAAUAAAGAACCCCCAAUGAACACAAGAUGAACUACUUUCUCAGAAGCAUUAUGGAGAAUCUCUUUGAAAACUCAGUAAUGCAGCACUGAGCACAUGCUGCUAGCACUGAAGUACAGUUGGCAAAUUAAUUUAAAAAGCUAUGUAUAAUAUUACUAAAAGUUAACAAUUUGUUUUAUAUGCUACAACAAAAUUUUUAGAAAAUUAUUUCUCCUUAAGAAUAAAAUCAUCCCAGUGGAAGAAAUCAA